AAUUUUUUUUUAAACAGAUACGUGCCCAGAUUUAGGCGCCCAUAUAUUUACAUCCUUUUUCUGUCUCUCUCUCACACAAAGAGCCUCACAUCUUCUCACUUCACCGAAGUCCCUCACUACCGUUGUUGACGUCCGUUGCACAUCGCCACCGCCGCAAUACGAUCAGGAUUCAACGUUGAGACAGUGGAGUACAAGAACAUUAGAGGAAAGGCUAAGGUUAAAGAAAGGAAGAACAACAAAGAAGAGAAGGAGAAAAAUUAUAAAUAGAUUAUCGAUCAAGAACUCUAGGUCAAACUUACUCAAAAUGGGUAAUAGACAAAGAGUAUGAUUGGUCUCCCAAAUGCUAUCUAUGUCAUGCUGUGAUUGAAGAGGGGGCUGAUCUUCAAACUAAUCGAUUGUGUUACUUGCAUAUUGUCAAACAUCAUACAUGCAGAUUUUUCCUUUACAUGCAAGCUGGCUGAACUUAUACUGAAUAACUACUUUCCUCUUAUUUGUUUUGUAUGAAAUUAUUAUUGUAAGUUGGAAUGUACUUGGUUUGUAUGCAAUGUUGACAUUAAAAGUUAUUCUCUUGUUUGGAUGGUUGUAAAUGAAAUAGAUGCAGAUUGUGGAAUGAGUGAUAAUUUA